rnacentral:rRNA from 1 species
UACGAAGGGUGCAAGCGUUACUCGGAAUUACUGGGCGUAAAGCGUGCGUAGGUGGUUUGUUAAGUCUGAUGUGAAAGCCCUGGGCUCAACCUGGGAAUUGCAUUGGAUACUGGCAGGCUAGAGUGCGGUAGAGGAUGGCGGAAUUCCCGGUGUAGCAGUGAAAUGCGUAGAGAUCGGGAGGAACAUCUGUGGCGAAGGCGGCCAUCUGGACCAGCACUGACACUGAGGCACGAAGGCGUGGGGAGCGAACGGG